rnacentral:rRNA from 1 species
CUGGGCGUAAAGGGAGCGCAGGCUGCCAGAAAGUCAGAUGUGAAAGCCCGGGGCUCAACCCCGGAAGUGCAUUUGAAACUGUUUGGCUUGAGUAUGGUAGAGGGAAGUGGAAUUCCAGGUGUAGCGGUGAAAUGCGUAGAUAUCUGGAGGAACACCGGUGGCGAAGGCGACUUCCUGGACCAAUACUGACGCUGAGGCUCGAAGGUGUGGGUAGCAAACAGGAUUAGAUACCCUGGUAGUCCACACAGUAAACGGUGAUCACUAGGUGUUGCGGGUAUUGACCCCUGCAGUGCCGCAGCUAACGCAUUAAGUGAUCCGCCUGGGGAGUACGGUCGCAAGAUUGAAACUCAAAGGAAUUGACGGGGGCCCGCACAAGCGGUGGAGCAUGUGGUUUAAUUCGACGCAACGCGAAGAACCUUACCUGGACUUGACAUCCCGAGAAUUUUUAUGAAAAUAGGAAGUGCACUUCGGUGAACUCGGUGACAGGUGCUGCAUGGCUGUCGUCAGCUCGUGUCGUGAGGUGUUGGGUUAAGUCCCGCAACGAGCGCAACCCUCGCCUUUAGUUGCCAUCAAUUCGGUUGGGCACUCUAGAGGGACCGCCGGUGUUAAACCGGAGGAAGGUGGGGAUGACGUCAAGUCCUCAUGGCCUUUAUGUCCAGGGCUACACACGUGCUACAAUGGGCGGUAUAAAGGGUCGCGAAACCGCGAGGUGGAGCCAAUCCUCCAAAGCCGUCCUCAGUUCGGAUUGCAGUCUGCAACUCGACUGCAUGAAGUUGGAAUCGCUAGUAAUCGCGUAUCAGCAUGACGCGGUGAAUACGUUCCCGGGCCUUGUACACACCGCCCGUCACAUCACGAAAGUCGGUUGUACCAGAAG